ensembl:lncRNA
CUUAUUACUGAUUCAGUAGCCAAUACAGAGUAAAUUAUUCUUUUGCUUUGUGCAGGUUCAAAAAAACAGAGUGAAGCGCUCAGACAGCUCUGAAGGAGGCUCGGUACGGUAAUAUCACACACACAAACUUACUUACAUAGGAUUUAUUUCCAUUACAUUACAUUACAUUUGGCAGACACUUUUGUCCAAAGCGACUUACAAUAGUCAAGUACAAAAGUAACAGAAGGUAAAAACAUCUUUAGAUAGGGCCUAAAGGAGGUCAAGGGGAGAUAAUGGGAUAAAGGAGUAAAGGAGGGAAGAAGGAAAUGAGGUUAGAAGUAGUUAGUUUGUUAGAGGUGUAAGAGCUCUGAAUUUAAUAUGAGCAGCAACUCGUAGCCAAUGGAGCUUAAUGAGCAGUGGAGUGACAUGUGCCCGUUUUGGGUGGUUGAAGAUCAGACGUGCUGCUGCAUUCUGAAUCAUCUGGAGUGGUUUUACUACACAGGCCGGGAGGCCAGUUAGUAUGGCAUUGCAGUAGUCGAGGUGUGAGAUGACCACUGCUUGUACCAGGAGAAAUUUCCAAUAGUUAAUGGUUAGAAUAAGGUCCAGGACUAGGUACUGGGUGUAAAACAUCAUCUUACUUUUUAUUUUUUAUGUUUUACUGCAAUCUGACAGAAUAAUUCCAAACACUUUCGUCAGAUUCAUGUUAUAAGGGGCAGAAAACACCAAUAAAAUAUUUAUUCUUUACUAUACUAUUAGUGGAAAUAAAUUAAAUAAUGAAAUUCUACAACAUAUUGUCGAUUUUCUAAUUUAUCCUCAAACAGUUACAAAACUGAAUUAAUAAAUGUUACAGUGAUCUUACAGUGACGGUACUUUGUCCUUAUGAGUCUGAUGUUUCCCCCAGGAUGACUCUGAAGAUGGAAGUAAUGAAGGGAGUGAGGGAGAGGGGGAGGAGGGAGAUGGAGAAGAAGAAGGAGAUGGAGGUGAGGGUGAAGAGGAGGAGGAGGAGGAGGAAGAGGAAGAAGAAGAGGAGGAGGAGGAAGAGGAGGAAGAAGGGGGAGAGGAAAAAGAGGAGGGGGAAGAGGGAGAAGAAGAAGAGGAAGAAGGAGAGGGGGAGGGAGGAGAGAAAAGUGAAAAAAAAGAGGAAAAUGAAUGUGGAAGUAAAGAAGAAGAAAGUGAGGAAGGGGAGAGAGAAGAGCAGAAGGAGGAAGGAGGAGAGGGUGAGGGAGGAGAGGGCAAAGGUGGAGAGGAUGAGGGAGGAGAAGAAAGUAGUGAAGGAGCUGAAGGAACAGAAAGUAAAGGUGGUGAAGGAGAAGAAGGAAGAGAGGGAGAAAAUGCAGAAGGUGAGGGAGGAGAAGGAGGAAAAGAAGGAGGCAUUAAAGGAGGAGAAGAAGGGAGCGGAAAAGGGACUGAAGAAGUGGCAACAGAACCCACCACAGGACUUAAUGAAAACGAGAUUACACUAUAGACCCCCUAACUGGAACUAUGAGCAUCACUGGUCAUCUGUCUCACUCCUCCAGCUGUUAAAUCUGAACCUACACAGCUCAGAUGAUCUCAGACCAGUUCUGGAUUCAACCAUUCUGACACACCGCAGCGCAUCAUACAGCUGUUCCUGA